CUUUAAACCUGUAAUAUUUGAUUUGCUUUAAAACUGAUGCCUAACAGGCUUCAGGAUUAUUUGAUAAGAAAACCGACCCAGAAACACUGCUGAAGAAUUCCUUGCUAAUUUUGCUUUCCUUAUGAAAGCAAACAGAAAGAACAAGAAGGCUGUUUAUAGAAGGCACAGAUUCAGACUUGGAGUCAUUGCUUAAAGGUGUGACUGCUUCUCUCUGCAACCAGCUGCCUCAUAGCUCCAGAUAAAGCUGCCCACAUGUCCCAUGUGCUUGGUUGCAUUUAGCUCUGCCUUCUGCAUGCAGAUUAUACCUGCACCAUGCAAGGAAAAUGCAAUUCCAUUGCUGGAGGGCCUGAACGAAAUCCCCAAGUCUUAUUUGUAAUUGAACAGCCAUUUCUGAAUAUAAAACCUGGAUGAGCAACCUGGACAUAUACAGAAGAUCCACAGUACAGACAGCCCACCUUGAAGAUGAAUGUUUGUAGGGGAUUAUCUGCAUUACAGCUUCAAGACAGUAGAUUCUAUACAGAUAAAUCUUGAUGAUGGACAAAAGCUUUACCAGGCAAGCAUCUCGCAAGGAGGAGUAGGAUAAUAUUUAAAAUCAAAAGGCUAUUGCAGAAAGCAGUAACUUUCUAUCACUGUCCUGCAUCUAUCUGGUUUGAGUUUACUGCAUCCAUACAGUUGCCACAGUAGAAAUGACUCCUGAAAAGAGAUUUGGAACUAUGAGCAGUAGUGGCUUUUUGGGGACUGUGCCUGCUGUCAUAAGAGCAUGAGGUGGGUGAAGGGGACCCAAAAGCUGGAGAAGAGUAAGAAAAGAUGCUACAGUGCUGAAGAUGAGAGCAGGACAGUUCUAGGGGAAAAGAGAAUGUGAAUUGCAAACACAGAACUACUUCCUCAGAACCCC